rnacentral:rRNA from 1 species
GUUGUCCUACGGGAGGUAGCAGUAGGGAAUCUUCCACAAUGGACGAAAGUCUGAUGGAGCAACGCCGCGUGAGUGAAGAAGGGUUUCGGCUCGUAAAGCUCUGUUGGUAGUGAAGAAAGAUAGGGGUAGUAACUGGCCUUUAUUUGACGGUAAUUACUUAGAAAGUCACGGCUAACUACGUGCCAGCAGCCGCGGUAAUACGUAGGUGGCAAGCGUUGUCCGGGUUUAUUGGGCGUAAAGCGAGUGCAGGCGG